AUCUUUUGGAACACUUUCUAAAAAUAGUUGCUGUUUGAGAAAGUGAAGAUGUAUGUUGUGUUUUUUUGGUGUUUUUUUUUUUUAUUAAAUGCAACAUUUCAAAGCAAUUCAAAUGUUUAGCAAAUAGCUCAUUGCUAUCUUUGAUUUGAAGAACUGUUCAAAUCAAGCCAUGACUGAUAUGACGCUGAUUUCUAUUUUCUAGCUACUGAUUUUUUUAUCUUCCUAAACGUUGUAGGAUUUCUGUUUCAUUAAUUCUUAAGUAUUUUGCAGUGAAAUGGCUGAAUUUAAGCCUUGCUGCUUUAGUUUUUUGGCUGCCUCUGCUCCCAUGGGAGUAACUUUCCCUAAGAGUGCAACUCAGACCUAGGCCUGCAAGCUCUGGGUCAUGGGAUUUCUGUCAUUGCACAAGGCUGUUCUGGACAGGGGCUUUGGCAUAUUGGUGUGGCACUGUGCUUCCUAGCUUACUUCACCCUAAUCACCAAGUAGCUGUCAUACAGAUGUAAGCUUUCAGUGGCUGUCAGAUCGAAACUAAUGUCCUUGCCCACAAAAGAUAUCAUAACUUGAGGUUAGCUCAAGUCCACGUAGCUACCUUAGAGCUGCAACGCUUGUAGAUAAACAGGUGGAUAUGUCUCAACAGGAGUACCAGGCUGGAAUUAUCUGAAGUUUCCCAUAUUAGAACCUGCCCUAGGAAGGGAUUUCAGAUAGCAUCAGUAAAGCUCCUGAGCUGAAUGGCUUUUGUGGAAAUGGCUGGGACUACUUCUCAGCUGCAGUCAGGGCAAGAAGCAAGGGAUUAAAAGUUUCCCAUGUAUAAAAAUGGUGCUGGGGAAAAUAAGGGAAAAAUAUCUCAGAGGCACUUAUGUGCUCCUACUUGUUCCUGGGUUUCUGGGGACUGGUAGGAAUGUCAGUCUAACUAGAGGCAGUUCCACAUGUACUUCGUAAUGUCAGAUGGAGUGGCAAUAAAUUUUUCAAGGUGGGCUCCUGUGGAACUUACAGCCCAGCUGGAUUCUCUCCAGUCAGUGUCAGUCUGCAGUUAUUUAUUCAGGGCAAAUAUUUGACCUUCUGAUGCCAGACUGUCACUUGAGAACAGUCUUCUGUCACUGAAACCAGUUCACAGUGCAAAGACAGAGAGUUCUUGUCUUAGGGAUCAUUUGAGCUGGAAGGAAGUUCCUUGCUCUUUGUGGAGAGUACUUUCUGCAAGGAUUUGAGGGAGAAAUCUACUUUUCUGCUAUGUGUCAGGCUCAGGUCCAUAUGCUGUUAAAUUCACAACUCCAUGACCAGGUCGUCUAUCAGCCUCUUCUGGCCCUCUAAGAAAAACAGACUUUGCAGGAGUGAAAGUGCUACUAGAAAACAGAAAAUGAAAUGAAAACCUAAGCCUGGCUGGAACAAUAUAUGACAAACCACCAAGUCUUGUGCCAGUGUGUUUACCUUGGCAGGCUCUGUCUCUCCUGCUGGAAGAACCAAGUUCUCUCACUACUGUGAGAAUUCUUUUGUGGACUUAAAAAAAGAAAAGAAAAGAAAAAAAGAAAAAACAGACAAAAGAAAAACAGAGCCACCGCCCUGAAGCAGAUCAUUCAUCAUAAACAGUGGGAGCAUGAAAGGCGACUUGCUUUGACCUAGUUACAAAAACAAAAACAAACAGACUUUCCCUAAUUGCCUGAAUGACUCAAGUGGGCCUGAGUGUCAAAGGCAACAAAUCUGUGCUUCCUUCAGAGCUAUAUGUUAACUGUGGGACACCAGGCUACAGCCUGCUCCAGUUCAAGACCUUGGGAGAUGCCUCUGAGCCCAAGGAAGCCUGGGUAAGCAAAAGACAGCCAAUUCUGUGUGCCUGCACGCACAAACAGGAUCAAGUGCCAGGACAAACAUGUUUCAUAAAUUGUGACAAAGGCAGUGGCUUUCAAUGCUGAGACUAUCAGGGUUUCAGUGCUUACGUUGCUUUGCUUUGUUAUCAUGGUACUGCUGCAGGACGGGCCCAACUUUCUGUCCAGCAGCAUUUGCAGAGCUGUCGCUGAUUUACUGAGGCUCAGUGCCUUAUUUUAAAUGAGCCUGAGGGUAGUAGGUACUUAAAAUGCCCAAGAGCACUGUUCCCAGCUUUCUAAGCCUCAGCAAAAAACAAACGUCAGUGCAUCGCUAUUGCAGGAUGCGUGCUAGAGAGGGUGAGAGCAAACAGGGAUAGGGCAAGUGAACAAAGUUGGAAAGCAGGAGAAGAGGGAAUGGAGAGACUUCAAGGGCAUGGGACAUGUGCGAAGUGUCUAUGCCCAUAUGUUAGAGAAAGCCGUUUAUUUACCAGCUACGGGAAGCAGCCUGGGAAAAUCAGCAUGCCAGGUUUCUGGAGCUGCCCAUUUUCAGUCAGGUAAAAGUCAUCCCUUUGGCAUCUCAUUCUGCAGCCUUUCUAUGUGUUUUAGUUGUCCUAUAUGUAUGCCAAAGUAGCUCUUUUAGGAGCAGUUGGGAUGGCCUUUCAGUAGAAGAAAAUGAAUUUACUUAGGCUGUAAUUCUCACCCAGGGAGUGCUGGCAGCAUCUUCAGUGCUGCACAGAAAAGGCUGUGGGGGGUGGCAGAGACAGCACUUUUCUGAAGCCCACAUGGGGUCUCAUUUUUUUCAGUUUUAGAGGGCAGGUUCACAAGAGUUUGUAUGUUUUCCCCAGCUGGUUCACCAUCUAUUUUAGAUGGAACUGUUUGAUCUCUUUCUGUUUGUAGUCCUUUCAGUUUCACAAACAAUAGGAGGAAGCUUGCCUGUUACCAUGUGUUUGGGCCCCAGCUAAGCUUCUCCCAGCUGGAAAAAUCAGUCCAUGAACUACAGAGGGUUUUCUCCAGCUGUAAUUACCAGUUCCCUUGUGCAUCUUGUAAGGUAACAUUGUCCAGUGGGGAUCUUAGAGCACCUGGGCAAAGGGCUGUGCUGGCCAGGACGCUCUUAUACUAGAAAGAAGGCUGCAGCUGUUGAGUGCUUUCAUUUGAAAUGCUAAUGGUGAUUAUCAGGUCAUGGAGUCCCAUGAGGUCCUCCUUAAUGUUUGCUGUCUUAGGAUGGACUUACUAACUUGGAAGAAAAAGGAUUAAUGUGUGCUGCAGCAGACUUCUGAAGGCCUUGGCAGCUCUGCACUGUGGGAAGGCAGUCCCUGGCUGUGCCAGAGAUGUCCCAGAAGAGCCAGCACUGUUAAUGCCACAAAGGCUGAGCAGUUGCCUGUUCCUAGCUAGCUAGCUAUUGCCUAUUGUGGGAGUGGGAGAACAAUGGAACAAAUGCAACUGCCAAUUCACAUACCUCUUGCAUCUGGAAUGGUGUGGCAGGAUUCCCAUACAGCUCCUCAGCUGUAGAAGGUAAAGGUCCGCAGUACCAAAUAUAGGAGUGACUAUACAAAGAUGCGGUGUAGGAAGACUGCGCUAGGAUUCAGUUUAAGAAGUGUGGAUCUCAGUUCUGCUGUGCUGUGAAAUAAGUAAUCAGGACUUCCCAUGCACUUAAAUAAUGUUCAUAGCCAGAACUUUGCUAGACACGAACUGCAGCACUGAGCAUCUUUCAGGAUAUGUUCUUGACAGUGUUUAUGGAGUUCAUGCAAAUGUUUGCAACCAAUUUGCAACUUUACGUGGAAAUUUCAUGAGAAAGUCUUUCCCGUGAGAGACUUACUCCUUCCUCCUUCCUGUGGGGCUGGGAAUACUCUGAUUAGAGCCUCUGCACUGGUAUUUCAGCACUUCUGAUCCCCCUUGGAACAGUAAAGUGCUGAGGCAGCCACAAACAAUGGGAGAGAGAGAGAGAGGAAAACCAUUCGUUGCAGCUUCCUUGGAAUUCAGUGAUAGGGCUUCCCUAAAACAAGCUUUGAGGUCUGAUUAUUACACUGAUAUGCUGCCAGUCUGGCAAUAAGCUACAGGCUGACCCACUGAAAUUGUUAUUUGCAGUAAUGAACAUGUGCUUGCUUUAAUCUCGCUGGCAGUAUUAGUGAAGGUGCUUAGAACUGACUUCACGCAUCAAACUCUUUGGGGCUGGUACACACUGGGUACCUGCUCUGUGCCCUUCUAGCCAUGUUGGCAUACGAUCUUUGUUUGAGGCUGGGACCAGAAGCAUACGGAGCACGCUUUCCUGCAUGCCCCAGCCCUGGUGGAAAGCAGGCAGUGUGGGCUUGUUCUCCCAGUGCCUGACUUUGCAUUUGCCUGAGCAGAACUCCCUACUUCCCGCACAGAUCUCACCCAGAGCCCUGGCGCCAGGUUUAUCACUCACCUUUCUGGCUGCAGAAUCCUUUGGUGGAAAAGCCUGUCUUUCGGCCAUGCCACCACCUUCUCUGAACUCAUUUUCCUUGUUCCUAUUGUUCGACAACUUCCUGAGCCCUGCUGUUGGAUGGCUGUUUCCUGAUUCUGGGUAUCUCUCACUUCCUGCAAUGAAAUGCAAGGACUUAUAUUUGUACUCACAUUUCUAAGUAAUGUCCUGGUGGACAGUGCUGCCAGCAACAGGAUGAGUCCUCUUAGGGCUUAAUGAUUGACAGAAAACUUUUUGUCUUCAUGCCACAAUUUGGUGCAAGGAAGGUAAAUGAUCCAAGCUCGUGCGUGAUCGGGGCAAACUUUCUGUUGGCUUCCUCAUGGUCUUAUUUUCCUCUCAACCCUGCACUGAAACUGCCAAUAAAGAGAGUUUCUGAGUUUUGGCACUAGAGGGCCCAAAGGCCGUUUACACAGUGACCCAGUUCUGCUAGAAGCUGUGUUGAAGGUUUGUGUUUCAGAGGGUAUAACAGCAGGCUGAACUUGAAGGUUUGAAAUAAACUAAUUAGGUUCAUUUACUGUGGUAGUUGACAUGUAACAUUUUAUCUAGGCUUUUCAGCUGGCUUUACAUGAGUAGGCUGAGUCCAGUCGUUCUCAGCCUUCUGGAAAAGUUGAUCUCUGGACCAAGCUUUGCAGCUGGGGUUUAUUUCCUCUUGGUCUACUGAGUAUGUCAUCCUCCAGGAAUGUGUUCUGUGCCUGUAUGAGAGAGCAGGAGACUAAUAGGCAUGAGGCUUCCCACCUUAGAUAAAACUAUAUCUUGGCUGGGAGGAUUUUAAAGCCACAUGGAGGAGCUAUACUAAUAGACUUGUUCAGGUUUCCAAAAGAGAAAGAUAUUUUGAUAAUAUAUUUGGCCCAACCUCUGUAGCCACAGUUACAGUGGGCAAGAAAUCUGACUUCGCACAUGUGAAGGAGCAAGUGUUCAAGGUAUUUCAGAAUGCAUCUUUUAUGGGAUAAAACCUUAGUUGGGAAGCUGGCACCUUCCUAUCUGCCUGUCCUAGGGAAAAGGGAGUUGCCGGUCAGCUUGUCUCACCAAGUGGUGACAAAUGGAAGGGCAGUUUUGGGGCAGCCAAACUCACCACAGUAGUCGCUGAGCUUGUCGGUGUUUGCUCCUAUUUCUGGGAUGAUUGAAAGAUCAGAAGGGUUUCCAGUCUGAACCAAGAGGCUAUGAGGUCUGCUUCUCCCUGCCAGAAAUGUCUUCAUGUCUUGGUACGAGUUGAGGAACAUGCUGGCAGCUCCACAGGAGCAAUGCUGCAUGAGGUACUCCUACACCAGACAAGAGAAGGUAAGCAGACUGUGAGGCUGCAGCAGCUCAAGGUAGCGGGUCAGUGUGAAGGCACAGACAGAUUGCAAGCAUUCCAGCCCUGGGAUGCUCAGCCUUGUCCUGAGACCUGACAGGACCCAGAUAAGGGAUUUACCUCUCUGUAAGGCUGAGCAAUCUAGAGUAAGCAAUGCAGAUUUUUUCAUGGAUUCAUUAGUGCUUGACUUGAACUGCUUGGUGUUCAGCAGCUUUUGGGGUUGUUUGCCAGAAGGAGUUGAAGACAGUUUCUAAACACAGAGCUGCUCAGCUGAAGCAGUUGUGUAAAUAAACAUCCAUUAUAACAGACUCACAUUUUAUGAUAAUAUUAUUUGUUUUGGACCAUGCACAGACAACAAUAUCUUGUAUUUUUAUUGAUGGGAGGCCAUAACUUGCUAACGUGUUACCAAACACUCACCAUAUGUGGUGCUUUGCUGUAGCUGGUACAGUGAGAGAGGGAGCCUUUCAACCUUGUAAUUGACAAUCUUAAUGUAACAUCUCAUAUGGAUAUGUUUCACAUAGCACUUUGCAGUAUCUGGGCUUUUGGGGGGGUGCUUUGAAAAGCUGAUAAAAUAUGUUGCUUUUUACCCAGGGCAUUGAGGAUCAUUUGUAAAGCAAAGGACAUGAAGUAACUGUGUUCCCUGUGCUCCUCAGUAUCAACUCUGUACACAGCCCCUGCCACAGGUGUGUCUGGGAGGUCUUUUGGUAAGUAUGGAGGUCAUUAAGCUGGUGAGAUCUAAUGGGAUCGCAGUAAAGGCAGAGAAUGAUACCUCCUCUUUAUUGUGGUUUGGCAAGUAGCCUUAAGAUGCCCCCCCUCCCAGGAAAAAGUCAUGCGGACAUCAGCUGUUAUGUCCUAUGGCAAAUAGUGGUAGUAAUGUUUCUCUUCUAUAUUCUUCUAUAUAUAUAUGUAUAGAGGGCUUGUGGGACUGAGGAGGAAAAUAAUGGAGAAUUACUUGGAUGCAGAAGAUGCAGGCACCACAGUAAUACCGGGAGAGCAUUCAGUUUUGUAGAUCAUGUUGCAAGUGCUGAGUGUUACAACUGGGAGUGCAGUUCCCCCAGCAUAUCACGGGACAUAUGCAGGCAAGAAGGCUGUGUUGAGAGACCUUGGAAAAUACUGUGAGGACCAGUUUCGAAUAUUUACAUAAAUGCACGGUGCCUUUCAUUUUAAUGGGAGCUGGAGGAUGGUGCACAUACACCAGAUGAUGAUUUGACCCUGAAUUUGCAGCUUAUAAGGGUUGCUUUGGGCAAUGACUCAGUUGUAGAGCUUCAGGAAACGUGUUAACAAUUCCCAGGCUCUAUGCAGGAGGUUGCAUUCCUCUGAGUGUGAGAGAUGAGUACAUGGAAAUGACGAGCCUCCCUGCUCUGCAACCUGACUCACAACUUGGCUUCAGCUCUGAGAAGGAGCUGGUCACCUACUGCAGAUCCAGUCCCAGCAGGUGGGAGAGCAGUACCAGGGGAGGAAUGACUGUGUCGGAGGAAUGAAAGACUCAUCACAGCAUGGUGGGAAGAAAUAGCUGAGUGUGACAGACCCCUUGUGUUCCUUUGGGGGUGAUAUAAUAAAUGAAAGGGGAGAAAGGGAAGGGAGGUGAAAAGGUGGAAAGCUGGUAUGGUGGCCAAAGAAAAGGAACUGAGAAAAAGAGGUGGCGCGGAGCUGAACAAAGUGUUCAGGGUCUGAGAACUUGGUGUGUGGGAGGAAGCUGAAAUGACUUGAAAAUUUAAAUCAAAUUCCACAGCUAGCUCUGGCUGAUUUAAAAAAAAAAAAAAAAUUAAUGAAAGAAAAGACAGAUGGGAGCACUAAGAUGUUUCAAGUCAUAAAUUCUGAGUUCUUUACAGAGAGAGUGGCAAAGUGCUGGAACAGGCUGCCCAGAAAGACUGUAGAUGCCCCGUUCCUAGAGGUGUUGAAGGCCAGAUUGGACGGGGCCCUGGGCAGCUUAGUCUAGUAUUAAAUGGGGAGGUUGGUGGCCCUGCAUGUGGCAGGGAGGUUGGGAUUCAUGAUCCUUGAGGUCCCUUCCAACACUGGCCAUUCUGUGAUUCUGUGAUUCUUCCUUUGGUAGCUCAGCAGAGCAGAAAGAGAAAACUAAAAAACAAGCAUGGAUGUUGGGCAGUGGUACCACCAAUUCUCUCUUCUACUGUGUCUAUUUUGUGGGAAAUUCUGGGAUUUCGACCACAUGAAAAUAGAAGGGAAAGAAAGAACUUGCAAUUCAAAACGUGUGAUUGCUACAGAAGUCCAUGACAGUGUUUUGUUUUGAUAACACUGUCAGAGGGAGAUGCAUUCUUGGGGCAUUUUUGACUGCAAAGAAAUGAAAGCUACCAACAGAGUUGGCCAUGGCAUGAGGUGAGGGGGCCCUUUUUAACUCAACAGAAGCAAGUAAAUGGCAGUUAGGGCAUCUGAGAAACAAAACUGGAUGAGAAGAGAAAUCUAAGACCACCCCAAGAGAAACUGAGCUCACCAUGGAGGGCAAGGGCUCCCUAAAGAGCAGAGCACCCAGCCCAGGUGGUCAAGUAAAAUCAGCAUCAUCCCUCAGGUGGGCUGGAGACUUCCCAUAUGGGCCUUGAGUAUAUCAUUUAAUGAAAGAUUCUAUGCUGUCUGCUUACCUCUUUUAUCUGGCUCAUCUUCUGCUCUUUCUGUAAGCUGCAGACUUGCUUUUGGAGCCGCAGGUUGUGCUCCUGCAGCUGCCCAAUCUUCUCAAUCAGUUGGCAAAUGUGUUCCAGGUAUCCCAGGCCAGAUCCCAGGGCUUUGCUGUUCCCUUGGUUCACCUGCAAUGACAAAACAGCCUGAGCCACAGAUGGCAGAGCAACCCUUACUGGCAUCUGGGAGCCCAGCCUGCUCUUUGCAGACACAUGUACCUGAAUCGAUCUGCAUCUUGUGAACAACAUCUUCCCAAUUUAGUAGAACCCAGAUGCCAUUUUCUCAGAUAUUAAGGAAGUCUGCUGGCCCAAGUUUGCAAUAUAGCUUUGUCAGGAUGUUCUGUAAGUGUGGCAUCAACUGGUCUUAAAAUGCUUUUAUCAGAGCACUGGCAAAAAUGAUCAGUAUUGGAGAGAAACAUUGCAAUGCUGUGAGUUUUACUGUGCUGUAGUUCUUUCAGAAUGACGAGUCGCCCAUUUGGAAAUGUGUGCUUUCAGCUUGGUCUCUUUGGAGCUGAGCUCAAGGCACAGCAGCUGCCUGGGACUGGGCACUAGGAGGUGGUGUGAUUUUUGAUGAAAAGGAUUGCCUGUGUUGCUGUCCGUGAGCAGAUUUUCGCAGUGUUUGUGCGUCAGCAGAAAAGCAUGAGCCACGAGUAGGCUGUACUGCUGCUCUCUGCCCAACCAGGACCUGCAGUGUCUCCCCAUGCCCAGCCUGUAGCCUCUGCCCCAGGGCUUCCCUGCACGUGGGCAGGGCACCGCUGGAUGCAGUGCUCACAAAUGCACGCAGAGGCUCUCUUCCACCUUGGCGCUGCCUGCUGCUGUGCAUCUGAUGUCAGUAAGUAAAAUAAGCCUCAACCUUUACAAAAACGGUGCUGUAAGUUUACCUUCAAAAAAAAAAAAAAAAGUUCCCUCUACAAAAGCAGGAAGCCUACUCUGUCUCCUUUCCCACAACAAUCUACGUUUUUGGGGAAAUGCCAGCCUUAGGACUCUUCCUGUCUUUUCAUUAUGUCAGAAAGCUCAUGGUGUGUUCAAAAAUAAUCAGCAUUAGGAUUUACUUCUUUUUAAACAAAUGAUGAUACAAUGUUGUUUAUAAAUAGGCGUUAUUAUGUCCAGAUGUUUUUGUGUCUGAAGCUGGGACAGAGGUCACAUGAAAUGGUAUGAAAAUCCACUGUGACUCCAAGUCUCCAUUGGCCAUUUGCCUUCCUGAGCUCUGUGUCCCUCUCAGCAGCACCCGGAGGAGAAGUGGCAGGACAGAGGUCACCCAUCCCAAAAGAAAAGAGGGAAAAGGAGUACUUGUUCCAGGCUUCUAGCAAGGGGGAUUCACCCUUGUGGAGGAGCUAAACCACAUUGGGUAUAAUAUACUGGAGGAUCCCAUUCUACAGCCAUCCCUCAGAGUGCCCAGAUCGGGAACUUCAGGCUAUUGAACAGCAAAUUAAUGUGUGUUUUGUUGCCAUGAUCCCAGCAGGUGCAAAGGAGUGAGAAGGCGACCAACCAGGCAGAGCCUGCAGUGUUUGCCCACCCCUGCAGGGCCAACCAUCUCAGUAGGUAGCACGCAAGUGUAAGAGCUUUGAAGGGAGAGCUUCAGCUUUUGUGCCCUCCCACGAGGCCCAUUUGCGGUAGGAUUGCUCAGAUGUGGUGGGCAUUCAAUACAGAAAGUUUGUGUAACUUGGCAGGUUGCCCCCAAAAAUGUUUGCCCAGAGAGGGCCUCUCCAGGGCCCCUUCCAGGACUUUUUUUCCAUGGACUGGAAACGCCUACACAUCCCUCACUAUCUUCUGGCUGUGCUGCGUACAGAACCUGCUCUGUCACGUAUUGGUAUAAAUAUUUUCCUCUCAGCACCUAUCAGAGUUUUAUGCUUGAAGUUGUGGGGGAGCAACCACAGGAAAACUGCAAACAUUUUCCAGGAGGAGUCCCUUUCUGUCUGUCCUCUCAGAUGAAGCUUCCCAAAACAUUCAUCUCACGGGGCUGAAAUGUUUCCCAUUCCCCACUGGGGAUUGCUAAAUAGUACUCGAACAAAAGCCAUGUACCUAUUUUUGGGUGCAUAAAACCUAUGUUUCUUAAUAUAAAGAUGCAGAGGAUCAGGUAGAGCUUACAAAUCGGAAGGUUAAAGUUAGAAUAGGGAACAAUAAUGUAUAAAUUGUGCCAGCUUUUUCUUUCGGGCACGUCAAACUGAAAGACACUCUCAGAAAGAAGAAAAGGACGGCAAGGUCCCAGCCCCACUGUGCUGAGUUGCUCUCACUAACAAUUUGACCGUGUGGAUUGAAGGGAAACUGGAGUGAGAUCUCUGCCCUUGGGAGUGCUCACCUGACUAGGUUUUGGGGAUGGGUUUUCAGCAGGUGCAGCCCUCCUCAGCAAUAAAUCCUCACAGUUCUGCUAGCUCACAAAUUCCUUGGGAAGCCUAAAAAUACAGGAUCAGUGCCUGCACUGGGAGCUGCUGCUCUUAUCUGGAGCUCUCUGGUCAAUAUUUUGGCUGGUGUAAAAUCAUGCUUUUCCUCCAAAGUCACUGGAGUUGCUCUACCUUAUUGCACUACUGAGGUAUGAAGGCCAGUGGGAGCUGCAAGACAGACAGUUGUUUACCAGACUCUUUGCUUUCUCCCAUGAACAAUUUUGAGUAGAACAGUACUCUGUCCUUCUAGAAAUCCCCAUCCGCUUUCCUCCACCCCAUCAGCAUGGCGAGCAAGGAUGGAGCAUGGGGCCUGCACAAAGGCAAAGGAAUGUAAUCACAUGCUGCACAUCAUGGGCUUGGAGCGACUGAUUGGUGACGCCAUAGGCAGUGCGGGAAGCAUUUGUCAGUGGGAGCUGACAGCACCCUGAGGCUUGUGAAUAACAGGAAAGUGAGGGAUCAUGCUGUAUAUUUCUGAUCACUCCACCCUGAUGUCCACGAGUGGUUGCACUGCUGAUAGCUUCUGGUUUCCUGCGCGUGGCACGCACAGGCUAUGGGCAGAGCAUCACAGCUUGCCCUAUCCUUCCCCUCAACCCUUCUCCUCUCCACUGACAAGUAGUUUGACUUCUUUGGACAAGGAUAAUUAGUGCUGUGUGAUUAAUGGGCUUUUUUUUUUCAUUUAAUGACGACAACGUUCCCUCCCUCUCUCUUCUUGUAGGGGCCUGGGCUGACUUUAAAUGUAAACUUUAUGGAGUGUGAGGAAGUGUUUGCAAAGCAAAAGCAUCAAAAGCUAAGUAUCUUCAAACUGACCCAAAACAUUUAAUUUGGCUUAAAAGGAAAUGCUUUUAUUUAGCCUUCAAAGUUCUCUUGUUGUUUAACAGCUUCCACACUCUUUCAUCUUUUUAAAUGUAGGCAAAUUUCAAAAUAACGCCAGUUCAAAACAGAAGAUCAGAACGCUUUGUUUAAGAAAUGCCAGACUGAAAUGAUGUGAUGUAUAUUUUCAACCAAAACCUUUCACCAAAUGAAUCCAAAGCAUCAAAACAUUUGUCUUUUCCAGUCCCUCUUUUCCAGCACUUUCCCUCAUGUUUCUGUGAAGCAGUCUCAGCAGCAAGGUUGGAGGAUAUCAAGUCCUCAUCCAGGGCUGCAUCCUCUCUUGAUGGUAAGCUCAGAGCCACUGGCAAUACCACAGCCAACUGGGCUGGGGAAACUCCAAGUGAAUUAAUGCAUUAGGAAUUAAUUGGAAGGGGCAUGUUUUUUUGCCAAGCAGAGUGGGAAUUCCAUGUACUGGCCUGUUGUCUUUCAGAUGACACUGACUGUGUUUCCAGAGAUGUCAAGCCUGGAGUGGUCUUAGGGACACAGACAAGAGUUGGCUUCUAAGUCACAUUUCAGACAGGUGACAGGAGCAUGUGAAAACUCCAGUGAGCACGGAGCAGGGCCUCAGCUGGGGCAAACCAAGAUGCAUCCAUCAGUUGUACAGAUAGAUCACUCUGGAUCACACAGUGUCCUGCCUGCACUGCAUGACAGUGAGGACGGGACAACAUUGUGCAGGUUUAGCGAGGGCACAAAGCUCUGUCGUUGCUGUCCUCAUGCUCUGAGGCUCAAAUACAGCAGCAGCCCUGGUCUGUUGUUGCUCCAGAUAGCCUGGGCACUGCUGGCAUCCCAGCAGUUAGCAGAGUGCUGCUCCUGAGAUAGAGCAGCCCAGAGGUGCUCUGUGACGGGGGGCAGGCUUCCCCAGUGUCCAGGUCACAGCUGUAUUUGUACUGCUCCAAAAACAAACACAGAGAAGUGCUCUGGGGCACAGAGCUUUAGCACUCAGCCAGUGAGGAUAUUAAAAAGGAGAGGAGAUAAGCCACGAAGAGCUUCAUUUCCUCUUCAGUCUCUUUCUAAUUUAUUCUCUUGUUUAUUUAAAUGGUCUGCUUUGGGAAACUGAGGCUUGGCUUCACAAAGGAUUUAAAGGAAUUUCAUGGGCAGCCAAAGCUGUCAGACAAGAUCAAGCUAGCUGCAAACCCUCCAGAGCGACAGAGAAUUUAGAUGGGAAGCCACGCGUGGACUCACCAUGGUAACACAGCCCCACAUUCUGAUGAUAUAGGCAGCAUCCCCAGGCCUGGUGUGUGACAUGGGAUGACUGACUCUCUGGAGCCUCCAACAGGUACUGCUCUUGGGAAUUACUUUUUAGAGGGGUCCAAGCACCUUGUACGUUCUGAAAAGCCCCCUCUAUGCACUCUUUGGUGACCGCUGGUACUUAGCCUGCCCUCUCCUUUCCUUCUGCCUACUGAGCUCUCUGUUCUGGCUCUCACUCAGGUAUUAACUUGCAGUGAAGUUAACUUUUUGUCGCUAGCUCCUGGAAGCCACAAUGGCAGGCAGGUUCACAAUCUGUCAGCAUGUCUGUGUGCACUCCAGGCAAAGCUCUGGCCUGAGCACUUGCCAGCAUUUAGUGUGGAGCAGGUACUCAGGCGGCUUUUUAUUCUCCUAUUCAUUGCACAGUGUACCCAGCAAUGGGAAAGGAGUGAGUUUGAAGUAGCACAAGUUACUGAAAAAAUUACUUCUUUGUAAUUAAGUCGGUCUCUGAACACAAGAAUUUCCAUCACAGCUGUUCCAGUAAAGUAAAAUGGAAACUCCCAGCAAAGAUUUGGAUUUGUGCAUUAAUUUGCUGUUCACUCACUACUUGAGAACUGACUCUUGAGCCAGAUCCAGGCCUGGGCAGAAUGAACUGCCCCUCAGACAAGUUUUCUCCAAACUUUGAAGCCUCAACAGCCAGCCAGCUGUUCCCAGAAACAGGAAUAACUUGACUUUGAAACCGUGUUCUGCUCCCACCUCAGCUAACAGAGCGGUGUGGCUCUGCAGGAUAACUUACUUCACAGUUUUCAUUUUAAGAACAAACAUAAGCACAUCCUCUAAUCUAAAGCUUUUUGAAAUGGACUUUACUGUUAGUUCAAAUGUCUCAUAAUUUGUUAUGGACAGCAGAACUGAGGGCCACAAAGAUGGUGAGGGGCCUGGAGCAUCUCUCCUAUGAGGAAAGGCUGAGUGAACUGGGUCUGUUCAGCCUUGAGAAGAGAAGACUGAGAGGGGACCUGAUCCAGGUCUAUAAAUAUCUAAGGUGUGGGGGGCAGAAUGGCGAGGCUGGACUCUUUUCAGUGGUGAGUGGAGACAGGACAAGGGGAAACGGCUGGAAACUGCAGCAUAGGAAGUUCUGCACAAAUGUGCGCAAGAACUUCUUUACAGUGAGGUGACGGAGCACUGGAACAGGCUGCCCAGGGAGGUGGUGGAGUCUCCUUCUCUGGAGAUGUUCCAGACCUGCCUGGAUGCCGACCUGUGCGACCUGCUGUAGGGAACCUGCUUUGGCAGGGGGGUUGGACUCGAUGAUCUCUGGAGAUCCCUUCCAACCCCUACAAUUCUGUGAUCCUGUGAUAUUUAGAGAAGCCUAACUAUAAGAUACAGUUUAGGUGCAUUUCUUACCUCAC